rnacentral:rRNA from 1 species
AUUGAACGCUGGCGGAAUGCUUUACACAUGCAAGUCGAACGGUAGAGGGGGCAACCCCUUGAGAGUGGCGAACGGGUGAGUAAUAUAUCGGAACGUGCCCAGUCGUGGGGAUAACGUAGCGAAAGUUACGCUAAUACCGCAUACGAUCUAAGGAUGAAAGCGGGGGAUCGCAAGACCUCGCGCGAUUGGAGCGGCCGAUAUCAGAUUAGGUAGUUGGUGAGGUAAAGGCUCACCAAGCCAACGAUCUGUAGCUGGUCUGAGAGGACGACCAGCACACUGGAACUGAGACACGGUCCAGACUCCUACGGAGGCAGCAGUGGGGAAUUUUGGACAAUGGGACGCAAGUCUGAUCCAGCCAUUCCGCGUGCAGGAUGAAGGCCUCGG